rnacentral:rRNA from 1 species
ACGCUCGACACCUACGGGAAGCAGCAGUAGGGAAUCUUCCGCAAUGGACGAAAGUCUGACGGAGCAACGCCGCGUGAACGAUGAAGGUUUUCGGAUCGUAAAGUUCUGUUGUUAGGGAAGAACAAACUUCGUUUGAAUAAGGCGGAGUCAUGACGGUACCUAACGAGAAAGCCACGGCUAACUACGUGCCCGCAGCCGCGGUAAUCUGAGCGGGCUGGCAAGGC